UCCCCCUUAUCGAGGGCAGUUUCCUUAGGGUGCUUCCCUUGCGGGCGAGCAACUAAGGAUGAGGGUUGCGCUCGUUGCGGAACUUAACCCAACAUCUCACGACACGAGCUGACGACAGCCACGCAGCACCUGUGCCGGCUCUCGACUUUACGAGUCGUCCCCCUUUCGGGGUUCUACUUCCGGCAUGUCAAGCCUAGGUGAGGUUCUUCGCGUUGCAUCGAAUUAAACCACACGCUCCGCUGCUUGUGCGGGCCCCCGUCAAUUCCUUUGAGUUUUAGCCUUGCGGCCGUACUCCCCAGGCGGGGUGCUUAAUGCGUUAGCUUCGGCACGGAGGGAGUCGACACCCCCCACACCUAGCACCCAUCGUUUACGGCGUGGACUAC
rnacentral:misc_RNA from 1 species